UCGCGUAUCUGAUCAGUGUCCUUCACUCUCCAUUACUCUUUUUUGUUCGCCGCGACCAGCAUUCACACGCACCACCGCUUUGCCGCUCGUGCUCGUGCACUCUUGGUUGAACAGUGGCCAACGCGGCGGAGAAUCGGCACGCUGUGCUGUGCGCUCGGCUUUCAUUGUUCGGAAUUCGUGCUCCUUUUGUGUGGUGUGUGUGUGGUGUAGUUCUUCCUCUUCUGUCGUCUCCAAAGUCAGCAUGAGUGACGAGGUCGACUUCUGGUCCGCCACUAUUGCGGCGUAUCAGCCGCUGCAGCUUACUUCGCCAGUGCUCACCCCAAAACUGCUGAAGAGACCGCCGUUUCGCUUUAUUCACGACAUCGUCUGCAGCAUUGACGCGCGGUUUGCGGCCUACGAUCACAUCAUUCCAGCCGAACUGCGCGACUCGGCUCAGGUGGAUACAAAAGAGAAGAAGAUCGAAUUCUCACUACCCUCAUCCAGUACAUCAACAAGAUCAUGAAGGUGGAGAUCGAUGUCAAUCCAAAGAAAAUCGUGUCGGCAACGAGCCCGAGAAGACCAACGUCUUUCUUCAGUACCUGGCCGCUGGGGUCGGCUACGCGCAGCGGGAGAAGGCCGCGCAAGCGGCCUCCGCACCACAGCAGAAGAGUGCCACCUCGCUCGCCAGCUCCGCGUCUCCACCCGCAGCGUCGUUUUCGACCAAUCCGGCUCACGGCAACUUGUCCCUUCCUCCAGCCAGUAGCCUCUUUCGUAAAAAGUCAAGCUCGAGGGACCCCACCGAACGUCGGAGAUCCCACGUCUCUGUCCUUGAUGAGGCAGCGAAGUUUAAUGGAAAGCUGAGCGGCUACUCGCUGAAUCUGAACCUCGACGAGCAGCGCGAUGUGCGAAGCGAAGGUGAGAGCAUCGUGCGCAUGUGGAACGAGCUCGCUAACCCGCAGACUGAGACGAAACCGUCGCACAUGCCCCAAGAGGCUCUCGAGACGGCCAUCAAGAGGCAGAUUGAGACGGUCAAGAUGGUGCAAGAACUGCUGAGCGAGAAUGACCGCGUCAUUGACAAGCUAGAAUCGCUUGUCACAUGAUCCGUCUGAUAGCGCGAUCCAAGUGUGUGUGUGCGCGCGUGCGUGGGAGGACUACCUUGGCAAACGGGCGGCGCCUAGUGCACCACAGCAAGAGGAAAAGUGGGAGAUGCCCGUUCGCGGGGCUCCUGCGGGGCUGCCAUGACUCGCCGAUGCCGCCAUGGCGGUGCCAGGUAGAUAGUCGCCGAGCAUUUCUCCUCUUAUCUUUCCGGCUCCCUUUAGUGCUUCUUCAAUGUCAUGUGAAAGGUGGCACGUGCUGUUCUCACUAACGCGCCCACGUAAGGCACGGGAUAUGCAUCUUCACCCUUCUGUGCUUUUUUAGUUGGUUGCUCGUCUUCUCCCGUGUUAUUGUAAGUCCCCUCCUCACUACCACCACCACCGUCACUGGCUCUCUCCGACCUUCUCCAUCUUUUCUCCAGUGCCGCAGGCGUAUUCAGCCGAGAGGGAACGCACACAUGCAUGCAUGCUCGUGCACGCACAAACGUGACUGCUGAUGGGCGGGUCCUUUAUUUCAGCGGUAUUGCUAUGUUUUUGCCAAAGAAGAAACGGAGCAGGGAAGUGCGUUCUCGCUUGCUUUUACUGCUCUAUCUGCCUUCGGUUCUUGUCCCCUCCUGUCUCGUCUCUAUCGCUUAGUGUCUUGACGUGUGCAAUGGUGUGUGUGUGUGUGUGCUCGACAGAGGACGUUAGGCUUUACUUCCUGUUCAGCCGCCUUCCCUUGUGUGCAUUGCGCACGUGCCCGCUCGCUUCAUUCUUAUCUAUUUGGCGUUGUAACUCUUGUGCUGCCGUGCGCAAGCUGGGAGAGGGGGGCGGCGCUAUAUCUGUAUGGGGGCUAUCCAUAUCUGUGUCUGUAUGUGCCCACCACGCAACCCAGCCCCACCCACUCGUGAUCGCCUUCGCCAUCUCGACCCAGUGGCAAACAGAGGAGACUAGAAAAUAGCACCUUCACUGCAACAAGAAACGAGGAAUCGAGCAGCACUUGUGGAAGCCGUCUCUCACUCACCGCUGAAGCUUCCAGACGAACGG
rnacentral:misc_RNA from 1 species